AGUCGAGCGGCAGCACGGGUACUUGUACCUGGUGGCGAGCGGCGGACGGGUGAGUAAUGCCUAGGAAUCUGCCUGGUAGUGGGGGAUAACGCUCGGAAACGGACGCUAAUACCGCAUACGUCCUACGGGAGAAAGCAGGGGACCUUCGGGCCUUGCGCUAUCAGAUGAGCCUAGGUCGGAUUAGCUAGUUGGUGAGGUAAUGGCUCACCAAGGCGACGAUCCGUAACUGGUCUGAGAGGAUGAUCAGUCACACUGGAACUGAGACACGGUCCAGACUCCUACGGGAGGCAGCAGUGGGGAAUAUUGGACAAUGGGCGAAAGCCUGAUCCAGCCAUGCCGCGUGUGUGAAGAAGGUCUUCGGAUUGUAAAGCACUUUAAGUUGGGAGGAAGGGCAUUUACCUAAUACGUAAGUGUUUUGACGUUACCGACAGAAUAAGCACCGGCUAACUCUGUGCCAGCAGCCGCGGUAAUACAGAGGGUGCAAGCGUUAAUCGGAAUUACUGGGCGUAAAGCGCGCGUAGGUGGUUUGUUAAGUUGGAUGUGAAAUCCCCGGGCUCAACCUGGGAACUGCAUUCAAAACUGACAAGCUAGAGUAUGGUAGAGGGUGGUGGAAUUUCCUGUGUAGCGGUGAAAUGCGUAGAUAUAGGAAGGAACACCAGUGGCGAAGGCGACCACCUGGACUGAUACUGACACUGAGGUGCGAAA
rnacentral:rRNA from 1 species